GCCGACCUCGGAUCAGGCGAGUGUACCCGCUGAACUUAAGCAUAUCAGUAAGCGGAGGAAAAGAAACUAACAAGGAUUCCCUCAGUAACGGCGAG
rnacentral:rRNA from 1 species